rnacentral:rRNA from 1 species
GAUGAACGCUGGCGGUAUGCCUAACACAUGCAAGUCGUACGAGAGUUUUUAACUCAAGUGGCGGACGGGUGAGUAACACGUGAGAAUUUGCCUUUAGGAGGGGGAUAACAACGGGAAGCUGCUGCUAAUACCCCAUAUGCUUUCGAGUGAAAUAGAUUUAUCUGCCUAGAGAGAAGCUCGCGGCUGAUUAGCUUGUUGGUAAGGUAAUGGCUUACCAAGGCGACGAUCAGUAUCUGGUUUGAGAGGACGAUCAGACACACUGGAACUGAGACACGGUCCAGACUCCUACGGGAGGCAGCAGUGGGGAAUUUUGCGCAAUGGGCGAAAGCCUGACGCAGCAAUACCGCGUGAAGGAAGACGGCCUAUGGGCUGUAAACUUCUUUUCUCAGGGAGGAACUCAAUGACGUGUACCUGAGGAAUAAGCAUCGGCUAACUCCGUGCCAGCGCCGCGGUAAU